rnacentral:lncRNA from 1 species
ACCCCAAUGGGUUCCAUGGCCCCAAAAUAUCCUACAGACCCAAAAAUGUCUUAUGGACCCCAAUGGGUUCUGCAGCCCCCCAGCUUCUAUUGACCCCAAAAGGUUCCACAGACCCCAAAAAGAUUUUAUGAACCCCAGAAGGUUCCACAGACCCCAAAAGGACUUUACGACCCCCAAAAAAGAUUUUAUAGACCCCGAAGAAUCCACAGACCACAAAAGGUUUUUAUGGCCUCCUCAAAGGAUUUU